UUUCAUGAGAACUGUGCCUGUCAGCUGCAUGGAGUUUGAUUCAAACAUUCUGAGCCUGAUGAGUUUACAGUGAUGCUGGGCUUCCUGGGUAA
rfam:Oryctolagus cuniculus cont2.22552, whole genome shotgun sequence.